UGGGAAUUGCGUUNUGAACUGGGUGGCUAGAGUGUNUCAGAGGGGGGUAGAAUUCCACGUGUAGCAGUGAAAUGCGUAGAGAUGUGGAGGAAUACCGAUGGCGAAGGCAGCCCCCUGGGAUAGCACUGACGUUCAUGCCCGAAAGCGUGGGUAGCAANCAGGAUUAGAUACCCUGGUAGUCCACGCCCUAAACGAUGUCGAUUAGCUGUUGGGCAACUUGAUUGCUUGGUAGCGAAGCUAACGCGUGAAAUCGACCGCCUGGGGAGUACGGUCGCAAGAUUAAAACUCAAAGGAAUUGACGGGGACCCGCACAAGCGGUGGAUGAUGUGGAUUAAUUCGAUGCAACGCGAAGAACCUUACCUGGUCUUGACAUGUGCGGAACCUUCCGGAGACGGAAGGGUGCCUUCGGGAGCCGUAACACAGGUGCUGCAUGGCUGUCGUCAGCUCGUGUCGUGAGAUGUUGGGUUAAGUCCCGCAGCGAGCGCAACCCUUGUCAUUAGUUGCCAUCAUUUGGUUGGGCACUCUAAUGAGACUGCCGGUGACAAGCCGGAGGAAGGUGGGGAUGACGUCAAGUCCUCAUGGCCCUUAUGACCAGGGCUUCACACGUCAUACAAUGGUCGGUACAGAGGGUAGCCAAGCCGCGAGGUGGAGCCAAUCCCAAAAAACCGAUCGUAGUCCGGAUUGCACUCUGCAACUCGAGUGCAUGAAGUCGGAAUCGCUAGUAAUCGCAGGUCAGCAUACUGCGGUGAAUACGUUCCCGGGUCUUGUACACACCGCCCGUCACACCAUGGGAGUGGGGGAUACCAGAAGCAGGUAGGCUAACCGCAAGGGGGCCGC
rnacentral:rRNA from 1 species